rnacentral:tRNA from 1 species
UGGGUUGUGGCUAAGUGGUAGAGUUCUCACCUGGCACGUGUGAGGCACUGGGUUCGAUCCUCAGCACCAUAU